UACGAAGGGGCUAGCGUUGCUCGGAAUCACUGGGCGUAAAGCGCACGUAGGCGGAUUGUUAAGUCAGGGGUGAAAUCCUGGAGCUCAACUCCAGAACUGCCUUGAUACUGGCGAUCUCGAGUCCGGGAGAGGUGAGUGGAACUGCGAGUGUAGAGGUGAAAUUCGUAGAUAUUCGCAAGAACACCAGUGGCGAAGGCGGCUCACUGGCCCGGUACUGACGCUGAGGUGCGAAAGCGUGGGGAGCAAACAGG
rnacentral:rRNA from 1 species